rnacentral:tRNA from 1 species
GCCUGGGUGGCUCAAUCGGUUGAGCAUCCGACUUCGGUUCAGGUCAUGAUCUCGUGGUCUGUGAGUUCAAGCCCCACGUCAGGCU